rnacentral:lncRNA from 1 species
GUUUGAAAACCCUUUGGGGUGGGUGAGGGUUGAUGACUGGAGGGAUUGGCUUCCAAUGAUAGGACAGUGAGCCCACCAUGUCACUGGUGGUGUGGGACCCCUAAUUAUCAAUUUAUGGGGGUUCUCUGGGGCUGUUCUGUGUCUGCGAAGUCUUCUUUGAGCUACAGCCUGGAGUGUCAACAUCUGGAGGCUGACAGGUGGUCUUCUGCCCAGCCACCACUAAUGAAGCCUGGCCAACCCUGAUGGGAAAGAUGGAGUGAUGGAAGGAGAGACAAUCGCAGAAACCAGAAGUUGGUAAAAAUAAGUGGACAGCAGGGCCAGAGGCUCAAAUGUGAGGGGGGUGGUAAACAAAUGAUCAGAAGAUAGAUGUUAGGGAGGGAAUUAAGAGGCCAAAAAGAUAAAGGAAGAAGUCAAAAGUGCCCUUCCUCCAGGAAGCUUCUCCACCUGGAGAGAGGACCUGAAACAGUACCUGCUCUACAAAUACUAGAUGAAUGGAUGGACAAACAGAAAAGAUCAAGGCUGUUCUAUUAA